UGGCGCACGGGUGCGUAACGCGUGGGAAUCUGCCCUUUGCUUCGGAAACAGUUAGAAAUGACUGCUAAUACCGGAUGAUGUCGUAAGACCAAAGAUUUAUCGGCAGGAUGAGCCCGCGUAGGAUUAGGUAGUUGGUGGGGUAAAGGCCUACCAAGCCGACGAUUUAGCUGGUCUGAGAGGAUGAUCAGCCACACUGGGACUGAGACACGGCCCAGACUCCUGGGAGGCAGCAGUGGGGAAUAUUGGACAAUGGGCGAAAGCCUGAUCCAGCAAUGCCGCGAGUGAUGAAGGCCUUAGGGUUGUAAAGCUCUUUUACCAGGGAUGAUAAUGACAGUACGGAGAAUAAGCUCCGGCUAACUCCGUGCCAGCAGCCGCGGUAAUACGGAGGGAGCUAGUUGUUUGGAAUUACUGGGCGUAAAGCGCACGUAGGCGGUACAUCAAGUCAGGGGUGAACCCGGAGCUCAACUCCGGAACUGCCCUUGAAACUAGUGUACUAGAAUCUUGGAGAGGCGUGGAAUUCCGAGUGUAGAGGUGAAAUUCGUAGAUAUUCAGAAGAACACCAGUGGCGAGCGGCCCGCUGGACAAGUAUUGACGCUGAGGUGCGAAAGCGUGGGGAGCAAACAGGAUGAUACCCUGGUAGUCCACGCCGUAAACGAUGAUAACUAGCUGUCCGGGCACAUGGUGC
rnacentral:rRNA from 1 species